GCCAGGUGUGGUGGCAAGCGCCUGUAAUCCCAGCUACUUGGGAGGCUGAGGUGGGAGAAUUGCUUGAACCUGGGAGCUGGAAGUUGCAGUGAGCUGAAAUUGUGCCACUGCACUACAGCCUGGGUGACAGAGUAAGCCUCCAUCUCAU
rnacentral:SRP_RNA from 1 species